CACGUAGGCACCAAGCGUUGUCCGGAUUUAUUGGGCGUAAAGAGCUCGUAGGCGGUUCAGUAAGUCGGGUGUGAAAACUUUGGGCUUAACCCAAAGCGUGCAUCCGAUACUGCUGUGACUUGAGUUCGGUAGGGGAGUGGGGAAUUCCUAGUGUAGCGGUGAAAUGCGCAGAUAUCAGGAAGAACACCCGUGGCUAAGGCGGCUCUCUAGUACGGUACUGACGCUGAGACGCGAAAGCGUGGGGAGCGAACAGG
rnacentral:rRNA from 1 species